rnacentral:rRNA from 1 species
CUUGAGCAGGGUAAGCCGGCCCCUAAGGCGAGGCCGAAAGGCGUAGUCGAUGGGAACCAGGUUAAUAUUCCUGGGCCAGGAGGAAGUGACGGAUCUCGAAGGUAGUUUGCCCUUAUCGGAUUGGGUGGGCUGCUCAGAGGUUCCAGGAAAUAGCCCUCCAUCAGACCGUACCCUAAACCGACACAGGUGGACUGGUAGAGUAUACCAAGGCGCUUGAGAGAACCACGUUAAAGGAACUCGGCAAAAUGCCUCCGUAAGUUCGCGAGAAGGAGGCCCCAUAUCUGGGCAACCAGGUGUGGGGGCACAAACUAGGGGGUGGCGACUGUUUACUUAAAACACAGGGCUGUGCGAAGCCGUAAGGCGACGUAUACAGUCUGACGCCUGCCCGGUGCUGGAAGGUUAAAAGGAGGGGUGCAAGCUCUGAAUUGAAGCCCCAGUAAACGGCGGCCGUAACUAUAACGGUCCUAAGGUAGCGAAAUUCCUUGUCGGGUAAGUUCCGACCUGCACGAAUGGCGUAACGAUCUCCCCGCUGUCUCUAACGUGGACUCAGCGAAAUUGAACUGUGUGUCAAGAUGCACACUACCCGCGGUUAGACGGAAAGACCCCAUGCACCUUUACUCCAGCUUUGCACUGGUAUCAGGAUUGUGAUGUGCAGGAUAGGUGGUAGGCAUCGAAGCGGGGACGCCAGUUCUCGUGGAGCCUCCCUUGAGAUACCACCCUUCGCCAUCUUGAUAUCUAACCGCGGCCCGUUAUCCGGGUCCGGGACCCUGCAUGGUGGGGAGUUUGACUGGGGCGGUCGCCUCCCAAACAGUAACGGAGGCGCGCGAAGGUAGGCUCAGACCGGUCGGAAAUCGGUCGUUGAGUGCAAUGGCAGAAGCCUGCCUGACUGCAAGUCUGACAAGACGAGCAGAGACGGAAGUCGGUCAUAGUGAUCCGGUGGUCCCAAGUGGGAGGGCCAUCGCUCAACGGAUAAAAGGUACGCUGGGGAUAACAGGCUGAUGAUGCCCAAGAGUCCAUAUCGACGGCAUCGUUUGGCACCUCGAUGUCGGCUCAUCUCAUCCUGGGGCUGGAGCAGGUCCCAAGGGUAUGGCUGUUCGCCAUUUAAAGAGGUACGUGAGCUGGGUUUAGAACGUCGUGAGACGGUUCGGUCCCUAUCUGCCGUGGGUGUAGGAGACUUGAGAAGAGUUGCCCCUAGUACGAGAGGACCGGGGUGAACGAACCACUGGUGGACCAGUUGUCGUGCCAACGGCAGUGCUGGGUAGCUAUGUUCGGACAGGAUAACCGCUGAAGGCAUCUAAGCGGGAAGCCCCCUUCAAAACAAGGUCUCCCUUGAGAGCCGUGGAAGACCACCACGUCGAUAGGCCGGAGGUGUAAGUGCA